UUGAUCCUGGCUCAGAACGAACGCUGGCGGCGCGUUUAAGCAUGCAAGUCGAGCGGUAAGCAUCCUUCGGGAUGCCUAGAGCGGCGAACGGGUGAGUAACACGUAGGUAACCUGCCGUGCGAUUGGGGAUAGCCUGUGGAAACACAGGGUAAUACCGAAUACGACCUUCGGGGGAAAGGUGCUUCGGCACCGUCGUACGAUGAGCCUGCGGCGCAUUAGUUAGUUGGCGGGGUAAUGGCCCACCAAGGCGACGAUGCGUAGCCGACCUGAGAGGGUGAUCGGCCACACUGGGACUGAGAUACGGCCCAGACUCCUACGGGAGGCAGCAGCUAAGAAUCUUCCGCAAUGGACGAAAGUCUGACGGAGCGACGCCGCGUGGGCGAGGAAGGCCGAAAGGUUGUAAAGCCCUUUUCUGCGUGAGGAAUAAGAAUCGGAGGCAAUGCCGGUUUGAUGACGGUAGCGCAGGAAUAAGCCCCGGCCAAUUACGUGCCAGCAGCCGCGGUAACACGUAUGGGGCGAGCGUUGUUCGGAAUUAUUGGGCGUAAAGGGCGCGCAGGCGGUCAUGCAAGCUUGGUGUGAAAGACCACGGCUUAACGGUGGAAACGCGCUGAGAACUGCAUGACUUGAGUUUCGGAGGGGGAACUGGAAUUCCAGGUGUAGGGGUGAAAUCUGUAGAUAUCUGGAAGAACAUCAGUGGCGAAGGCGAGUUCCUGGCCGACAACUGACGCUGAGGCGCGAAAGCGUGGGGAGCGAACAGGAUUAGAUACCCUGGUAGUCCACGCCGUAAACGAUGUGCACUAGGUGUUGGGCUUUCGAAGGCUCAGUGCCG
rnacentral:rRNA from 1 species